CCUACGGGAGGCAGCAGUGGGGAAUAUUGCACAAUGGGGGAAACCCUGAUGCAGCGACGCCGCGUGAGUGAAGAAGUAAUUCGUUAUGUAAAGCUCUAUCAGCAGGGAAGAAAAUGCCGGUACUUGAGGAGGAAGCCCCGGCUAACUACGUGCCAGCAGCCGCGGUAAUACGUCGGGGGCUAGCGUUAUCCGGAAUUACUGGGCGUAAAGGGUGAGUAGGUGGUUUCUUAAGUCAGAGGUGAAAGGCUACGGCUCAACCGUAGUAAGCCUUUGAAACUGGGGAGCUUGAGUGCAGGAGAGGAGAGUGGAAGUCCUGGUGUAGCGGUGAAAUGCGUAGAUAUUAGGAGGAACACCAGUUGCGAAGGCGGCUCUCUGGACUGUAACUGACGCUGAGGCACGAAAGCGUGGGGAGCAAACAGGAUUAGAUACCCUUGUAGUC
rnacentral:rRNA from 1 species